CCGAAGUUGGCCUUGUGGGCAAGUGUACGUAACACAUGGCCCACAAAGAGAGAAGUGUCCAAUGAUAGGCGUGCAUUUGCGUUGUCAUCAAUAAUGCUUUGGUUUUCCCUCCAAGUAUAUUUAUUUUCCUUCCAAAGUCUCACAUAUUUUGUCGUACUUCCUCCACUGCUGUCUGCAAAUAUGUAUGUCAACAAAAUCGUCCCUUGAUGGUGGGUGAGUAGGUCUCGUGUUGCGUUGCGUUGGUAGACUUUUUUCUUGGCCAGGACAAAG
rnacentral:lncRNA from 1 species